UACGGAGGAGGCAAGCGUUAUCCGGAAUUAUUGGGCGUAAAGCGUCCGCAGGUGGCACCUCAAGUCUGCUGUCAAAGACCGGGGCUUAACCCCAGAAAGGCAGUGGAAACUGAAGUGCUAGAGUGCAGUAGGGGUAGAGGGAAUUCCCGGUGUAGCGGUGAAAUGCGUAGAGAUCGGGAAGAACAUCGGUGGCGAAGGCGGCAUCCUGGACCAACACUGACACUGAGGAGCGAAAGCCAGGGAGCAAACGGG
rnacentral:rRNA from 1 species